rnacentral:lncRNA from 1 species
UGCAUUGCUGUUGCAGGAGUUUUGGGUCAAGCUCCUAGUAAUCCUCCUACGUCUACGCCGGCGCCACCCACACCACCGGCUUCUACUCCUCCUCCGACGACUCAAGCACCGCCUACACCAACCGCCACUCCGCCACCGGUUUCUACUCCUCCUCCCACUUCAUCACCGCCCCCAGUGACAGCUUCUCCACCCCCAGUUUCAACUCCUCCACCCAGUUCUCCUCCUCCUGCAACUCCACCACCUGCUUCUCCUCCUCCUGCAACUCCACCUCCAGCUUCUCCACCUCCUGCCACUCCUCCACCAGCUUCUCCACCUCCCGCCACUCCACCACCUGCAACCCCACCGCCAGCAACUCCUCCUCCUGCUACCCCACCACCAGCUCCAUUGGCUUCUCCUCCAGCCACAGUCCCAGCUAUCUCUCCAGUACAAACACCAUUGACAUCGCCACCAGCUCCGCCGACCGAGGCCCCAGCACCUACCCUCGGGGCUGCUACGCCAGGUCCAGCUGGAACUGACACGGUACAUUUUCUCUUAUUCCACCAUUUUAUAUCCUUCUUCUCCACCUACGAUCAAGCUUUAUUAUCGGUUGAAAUUUAAGCCUUUACAGCAAGACUUAAAAUAUAAUUUUAUUAAUGGUUUUAUAAUAUUAAAUUAUAAUUUUAUCAUUCUUACACAUUAAUAUAUAAUGUGAUAAAAUUUUUUACUUUGGGUACCGUGCCAACUUCCUAACGUCGCCCUUAAUCUUACAUAAACAACGAUCUGAGCUUGUCUCGAUAUUAGCUAACCCUUAAGCCAUUAGAGAUGGCUAUUGGUUCCGUCUCGACAUACCUUCAACAUAAUCUGAUUUAAAAUUAAAUACUUAUAUCUAUUUUUUAACACAAUAUUUAAAAUUAUCUAUAAUUUCUUCUCAACUUAUAAUUAAAAUAACAAUACUUCAGCGUAUUCAAAUUUACGUACCUAUGUUAAUCUAAUUUGACAAUAAUAUUUAUGUUAAUUGAAUUAAAGCUUGAGAUAUUAAAUUUAAUUAAGA